AUUACAGUGGUUCGGUUGCAUUGAGAAGAUACAAUCACUCUAUUGAUAUUUGAUGUCCUGGGGUAGAGAUGGGGUUAGACCCAAUAAUUAUUAGGUGAGGGUCCCAAUAACGACUUUGCAUCCACUGGUGAACGAUGGGUCUGACUUAACAAAGGAAUGUGCCAAUAACUGUUAGGUGAUGCCACAGGACUUAGAGACCUAACCCACUGCAUCUUGCUUAGUGAAGCAAUGGAUAAAGUGUUGUCCAUUCAUCAGUCUGUACUCAUCAAUAACUAUUAGGUGAGGUGUGUAUAGAUUAAUAGGACUGUAGUACCU
rnacentral:lncRNA from 1 species